CCACCCAUCCCAUCCAUCUCCUCUGCUCCAAAAACAAACUCUCAAGAACCACAGGAGGAGGGAGAGAGGGCGCGAGAGAGAGAUGGCCGUUUCUCUCACCACCUCUCCUUUCAAUUUCUGUACGGCGCGUGCUCACCGGAUCCGAGGAGAACAAAGGCCCUUUCUUUCUGGCUCUUCCUGCUGUGCUUGGAGGGUUUAUUUGGUUUUUUUCCUCUUCGGUUUUCUGGUUUGCAUCUUUUGCUUGGAUUUUAAAGGUAUUAAAGCUGAUUUGUGGGAAGUCAUAGAGUAAGACAGGCGCUUCUAGGUGCGGAGAGGCUCUUGGGAGAUUGACAGAAGAGAGUGAGCACACGGCGUGAUGAACAACAUAACAUGUAUGUUGUUCUCACCGCGUGCUCACUCCUCUUACUGUCAUUCUCUCUUUUUGAAGGGCUUUAACUCCCAUCAAGAUCUAUUAGUGCGGGUGUAAAACCGUUUAUUAUUUGAUUUUGUUCCACUCAUUUCAAUUCAUAUGUUUUUGUAUAGUUUUUUCCUUAAAAAAAGUUCGUACUUUAUUUGUAAGGAGAAACUUAACCACUUAAAUUUAGCAAGCAUACCUCUGGUACUAUGACUUUCCUCCUACUUUAUCCUACCACUUUCUUAUCUCCUAGAUCUUCACACACACUUAUUUUUCUUCCUAUUGUUCUAGUCUUUUCAAUCAAGUUGUCAUGGGAAUCGCUAUCCAGGAGCCCACAUGUUUUUCUUAUCCCCAAGUUUUCCGUUUCUUUGGCCUCUUGCAGAUUUGCAGUAGUACCGUCGCCUUGGGACCUGAAGCAUGGGGAUGCUGCCAGUACACUGCAACACUGUGAGGAUUUUAUCAACGGCUGCGUCCUCUCUCUCUCUGCCUUCAUGGAUGGGUUCCUGUUGUUGCAAGUGGUUGGUAUUUGUUGGGGUUGAUCAAGUUCUUGUUGGGUCAAAAAUGGAUCAUGGAGGAGGCUAGGAGAUGAGCUAUAUUUGGCAUGGAAGGAGGAAGGUGCCCUCUCUGUCUCUGCCAGAUCUAGCUUGCAUGUAUAGAACAAGAGCGUCAUGAUAAGCUAGGAAAUGCACUGUGAAGGCGUUAUUAAUCUCCAGAUAACCAAGGUCAAGUCAAAGCCGACGUCUUCUUCUCAUGACUCAUUCAAAUGGAUGGAGAUGGAUUCUUGACAGACAUUCUUCUCAAUCAAGAUCAUGGUGGUUUUGCUGGUGGUAUGGAGGACAACCUCAACAUUCCGAUCACACAAGGUAUUACUUCCGAAGGUCAACAAGCCCAUGUGGAAGUGCAGCCAAGUCGCAACACAAAGGGAUCCAAGAGGACAAAAAAAAUUUGAUUGGAAGGAAGACGAAGUUGUAUGCUCUGGUUGGUUGAACGUAAGCAAAGAUCCCAUUAACGGUGCCAAUCAAUCUCGUUCCACAUUUUGGAGUAGAGUUCAUGCUUUCUUUGAGGAACACAAGCAAACUGCAGCUGUGAGGACAUAGAGUUCCAUUAUGCAUAGGUGGCUGACAAUUCAGUCACAAGUGAACAAGUAUUGUUGUUGCUAUGAUAAGAUUGAGCGUAGGAAUCAAAGUGGAAAAACUAUCCAAGACAAGAUUUCAGAAGCAUCCAAGUUGUACCAGGAAUUAGACAAUGACAAUAAGUCAUUCACUCUUAUACAUUGUUGGAAUAUAUUGAAGGAGGAGGACAAGUGGAAAACCAAGAGGAUUGAACUUGCUGAGCUGGAAAAACUAUCAAACAAGAAAAAGCAGAAGUCCAGACCAAGGGAUACAGAAGGCACCAACAAUGAUGAAGAUGCAGCAAAGGAAGUUGCUCUAGAAACCGAAGCAAGCAAAAGGCCACCGGGGGUAAAGAAGGAAAAAGAAGCACUUAGGCGAGGCGGUGGUGGUGACGCUUUCAUGGAAGCUUUGGACAAGAUGUGGUCCAAGAAAGAGGCUUUCGACAAAGAAAAGGAAAAGACAAAAGAGGAGAGGUUCCUGGUUGCACUAGAGAUAGAGAAGAAGCGAGUGUCAAUUAUGAAAAAAAAGCUGAAGCAGAAUUGAUUAAAGAGGAGAAAGAAAUAAUGUCAAUCGACAUGACUUGCCUCACCCCGCUAUAGCGUCAAUACUACGAGACGAUGCAACAGAAAAUUGUCGCUAGGCGUUUGGCAAAUUAAAUUUAGUUCUAGUCAUGAAAGCUUUAGUUUGUUUUUUUAUUGAGCACAACUUUUAUCAAAGUUCAUGUAUCCGUUUACUGAACCUUAGCUUCUGUUCGUGAUUGUCAAAUAUGUUCUGGUACUGUUGUGACUAAAUGAUAUUGCUGCUGCUGCUCGUCAUGAUUAUGCAA